rnacentral:lncRNA from 1 species
CCCUGGGGACGGGGACGUCACCCCGGGGAUGGGCACGGCACCAGCAGCACCUCCUCCGUGCAGCCGUACCUGGGGACCGGGGCGUCACCCUGGGGACGGGGACGGCACCCUGGGGACGGGGACCUCAACCUGGGGACAUCAACCUGGGGACGGGGAUGGCAUGGGGUCACCCUGGGGACGGGGACGGCACCGUGGGGACGGGGACCUCAACCUGGGGACAUCAACAUGGGGAUGGGGCCAUCCACCUGGGGACGGGGAUGUCACCCUGGGGACAUCAACAUGGGGAUGGGGCCAUCCACCUGGGGACGUCACCAUGGGGACGUCACCCUGGGGACGGAGACGUCACCCUGGGGACAUCAACAUGGGGAUGGGGCCAUCCACCUGGGGACAUCACCCUGGGGACGGGGACGUCACCCUGGGGACAUCAACAUGGGGCCAUCCACCUGGGGAGGGGGACAUCAACCUGGGGAUGGGGACAUCACCCUGGGGACAUCACCCUGCGGAUGGGCACGGCACCAGGAGCACCUCCUCCGUGCACCCAUAUCUGGGGACGGGGGUGUCACCCUGGGGACAGGGACAUCACCCUGGGGAUGGGGACGUCACCAAGAGCGUCUCUUCCAUGCACCCAUCCCUGGGCACGGGGAUGUCACUGUGUCACCCCAGGGACGGGGACAUCACCACAUCACCCUGGGGACAGAGACAGCACCCCAGGGAUGGGCAUGGCACCAGGAACACCUCCUCCGGGCAGCCGUACCUGGGCACGGGGACGUCACCCUGGGGACACCCCGGGGAUGGGGACACCACCACGUCACCCCGGGGAUGGGGACGUCACCCUGGGAAUGGGGACAUCACCCAGGGAAUUUGCACGGCACCAAGACCAUCUCCUCCAUCCGCACCUGGGGACAGGGAUGUCACCGUGUCACCCCAGGGACGGGGACAUCACCCCAGGGAUGGGGACAUCAUCACGUCAUCCUGGGGACAAAGAUGUCACCUGGGGAUGGGGGACAUCACCCUAGGGACAGGGAUGGCCCCAAGAUUAUCUCCUGCACGCACCCAGCCCUGGGGACAGGGACGUCACCGCGGGGACAUGGGGGGGACACACGUGGGGACACAGGUGACACGCGCGGGGACACGGGGACACUCACUGCUCCGACGCCAGGAUCAUCUUGGCCAACAUGGGCUCCACGGGCAGCUCCGCCAUGCGCCGGCCCAGCUGGGGACGGGGACACGGUCAGGCCCCCCAGUGCUCCCAGUGCCUCCCAGUAACCCCCCGCCCGGCCAAGGCCACCCCAUGUCCCUCCCAGCGGCUCCCAGUGCUCCCAGUACCGUGGUGAGCUCGCCCAGGUGGUUGAGGGCGCCCAGGGCGUAGAGCUGCUCCAGCGCCAGCACCAGCGUCUCGUGGGGCGGCGGGUCCAGGAAGUCGAAGUGGAUGAGGUCGUUGAUGCCUGGGGACGGGGACGUCACCGUGGUGUCACCCCCCCCGCCCGAAACGUCCCCGAGGUGUCCCCCAUGUCCCCUG